GACAGAGGUGCCGAGCGUUAGGCGGAAUCACUGGGCUUAAAGCGUGUGUAGGCGGACCGUUAAGUACCUUGUGAAAUCCCCCGGCUCAACCGGGGAGCGGCUGGGUAUACUGGCGGUCUUGAGCCACCUAGGGGCGAGCGGAACAAGCGGUGGAGCGGUGAAAUGCGUAGAUAUCGCUUGGAACGCCGACGGUGAAAACAGCUCGCUGGGGGUGUGCUGACGCUGAGACACGAAAGCCAGGGGAGCAAACGGG
rnacentral:rRNA from 1 species